rnacentral:rRNA from 1 species
UACGAAGGGGGCGAGCGUUGUUCGGAAUUACUGGGCGUAAAGGGCGCGUAGGCGGCCCCUUUUGUCGCGUGUGAAAGCCCCGGGCUCAACCUGGGAGGUGUGCGCGAAACGGGGGGGCUUGAGUUCGGGAGAGGAGCGUGGAAUUCCCAGUGUAGAGGUGAAAUUCGUAGAUAUUGGGAAGAACACCGGUGGCGAAGGCGGCGCUCUGGACCGAGACUGACGCUGAGGCGCGAAAGCGUGGGGAGCAAACAGG